UACGUAGGGGGCAAGCGUUGUCCGGAAUUACUGGGCGUAAAGGGCGCGUAGGCGGUUUGGCAAGUCUGACGUGAAAUCUCCAAGCUCAACUUGGAAAUGGCGUCGGAUACUAUUCGGCUCGAGGAGUGGAGGGGAGACUGGAAUUCCCAGUGUAGCGGUGAAAUGCGUAGAUAUUGGGAGGAACACCGGUGGCGAAGGCGGCUACCUGGACCGGUACUGACGCUGAGGCGCGAAAGCUAGGGUAGCAAGCAGG
rnacentral:rRNA from 1 species